rnacentral:rRNA from 1 species
CGAAAGCCUGACGGAGCAAUACCGCGUGAGGGAUGACUGCCUAUGGGUUGUAAACCUCUUUUCUCAGGGAGGAAAUCAAUGACGUUACCUGAGGAAUAAGCAUCGGCUAACUCCGUGCCAGCAGCCGCGGUAAGACGGAGGAUGCAAGUGUUAUCCGGAAUCACUGGGCGUAAAGCGUCUGUAGGUGGCUUAACAAGUCAACUGUUAAAUCUUGAAGCUCAACUUCGAAAUCGCAGUCGAAACUGUUAGGCUAGAGUAUAGUAGGGGUAAAGGGAAUUUCCAGUGGAGCGGUGAAAUGCGUAGAGAUUGGAAAGAACACCGAUGGCGAAGGCACUUUACUGGGCUAUUACUGACACUCAGAGACGAAAGCUAGGGUAGCAAAUG